AUGGAGAUGAAGGCCAGGGUGACCGGCGGCACGGCGUCACCGAUGGAGAAGAAGAGGUCGGAGAGGGAGAGGAGGCAGCGCAUGAAGGCGCUCUGCGAGAAGCUCGCGUCCCUCAUCCCAAAAGAACACUCCCCCCACGCUCUAGGCAGCCUGGAUGCGGCGGCAUCAUACAUCAAGAAGCUCAAGGAACGGGUCGAUGAUCUACAACACAAGAAGGCCUCUGCACAAGCCAUGGCUACCUUACUGGGAGUUAGUGGCAUCUCGACGCCCACUAUCACUGCUACCAAGAGCAGCGGUGCGGGGUCACCAGAAGGAGGAAAAAAAUUGGAGGCAGCACCACGGGUAGUGGAGGUGCGGCAAUAUGACGAUGCAAGCAUGGAGGUGAGGCUGAUAUGCAGCACGGAGAGGCCUAUCAAGCUCCAUGAGGUGGUCACCAUUCUUGAGGAAGAAGGGGCCGUCAUCAUUAACGCUAAUUACUUUGUUGCAUUCGACAGAAUAUUCUACACUAUACACUCCCGGGCUUUCAGCACCAGAAUUGGCAUAGACGUUUCAAGAAUUUCCGAACGAAUGCGGGCAUUGGUGUGA
rnacentral:rRNA from 1 species